rnacentral:rRNA from 1 species
AUGAACGCUGACAGAAUGCUUAACACAUGCAAGUCUACUUGAACUUCGGUUUGGGUGGCGGACGGGUGAGUAACGCGUAACGAACUUGCCUCACAGUUAGGGACAACAUUUGGAAACGAAUGCUAAUACCUGAUAUUAUGAUUUUAGGGCAUCCUAAGAUUAUGAAAGCUAUAUGCACUGUGAGAGAGCUUUGCGUCCCAUUAGCUAGUUGGAGAGGUAACGGCUCACCAAGGCGAUGAUGGGUAGCCGGCCUGAGAGGGUGAACGGCCACAAGGGGACUGAGACACGGCCCUUACUCCUACGGGAGGCAGCAGUGGGGAAUAUUGGACAAUGGACCAAAAGUCUGAUCCAGCAAUUCUGUGUGCACGAUGACGUUUUUCGGAAUGUAAAGUGCUUUCAGUUGGGAAGAAAAAAAUGACGGUACCAACAGAAGAAGUGACGGCUAAAUACGUG